UUCCAUGAACUUAAAUUGCCAUGGUCCAUAUACAACUAACCUUUUUUUCGCUAUUGUUUGCGUAAAGAGAAGGAUUUUAUAUAGUCAAUAAAUAAACUACAUUAAAGCAAAAAUACUCUAGCUAAACCAUCGUAGAUCAUUGGCAUUGGCGUUGCGGCGGGAGCAUGCGCAUCGCGCUACGACGACGAGGCCAACGGCAUAGAUGAGCGUGCAGAGCAGGGCCGCGACGAUGACGAUGACACAACGGGUUGUGUCACCCGGUUGUGCCCCGACACAGAGAGCUCCUCACGUGCGACCACCGAAGGGGAGUGGGGACUCUCGGGAUUGAGUGGAUAAGGCCGCGCCGCGGUGAGGUUCGUUCACGCGAGGGGAAAUGCCGAGUGAAAAAGCCUUGUUGUGGGUGAUGUGUCAAGCGAUCGCGCACCAAGAUUUAUACUCGACAUUCGACGGCUGCUGGGACGUUCGAUCUGGAAAUCUACAAGUCUGAUGUCAAAUUUAUAGUGAUUCAUAAAAGCUUUUUCUGACACUAGUGUAGGAAGGAGGAGUAAAACUUUGCGAUCGAGGGUAAUAAAUAUGGACUUUUAGAUAUAUAAAUGAAAAAAAAAACAGGUCGGGUGCGAGGAAAGAUACAGUAGAUCCGAAGGCGAAGGGGAAGGCGAUAGGAGAUGGAGACGGAGGCGGAGCAGAGACCUCAAGUCGAAGGGAGAAAUAUCGUCUCCAACAAUCCCGAUUCCGAUCCCGAUCCCCACUCCAACUCCAGCCCCAACCCCAACUCCGAUUCUUCUAUAUACUCCAAAGUGAUGUCGCCGAGCCGCGCGCUGGCCGUGCCUCGCCUUCCACCACGGCGCGGGUCGACCCACGGUGACCUUCGAUGUGUCGGAGAAAAAGCCAAUCGCCGGCUACAUCGACGAGCUGGAGAACAAGGAGAUCUGUCCAGCCACGCACGGCUUUAUGCUAGCCAGGUGCCCUGCCUCCAUGUCCACCUUCCUGUGGACUCCCCAGAGCCGCGGCAAGAUCGAGCUGCCGCCGUUGCCGAUCGAGCAGGACCUGUUCAUAGACUGCAUCUGCCUGCUCUCCAACAAGCCCACCGCUUCAAACUGUGUCGUGCUUCUGGUCGAGCCUUACGCCACCUUCAUAUGGUACUGUCACAUCGGAGACGAUCAGUGGCGAAAACACGACUAUGACAUCGGAACCCAGCCGGCCCUCGACCUGCAGUCCGAGGACAAAGAGGUCAUAACUCCGAUUGCGGCAUGUGGGGGCAAGUUUUAUUUCAACAGCACACAAAUCGAGCUUGGUGUUCUUGAUUUCUGCCCUGCUCCCGUAUUCAGUUCCAUCAAGAUCAACGACGUGGUCGAUGAUAUCUACGGUGUUGAACUGGCUCCAGCUCAAGUUUUUCUGGUGGAAUCGGACGGGGAGCUCUAUAUGGUUUCCCUGUUAUGGGCGGAAACAAUUUAUGGUGCAAGAGUUCAUAGGAUGGAUUUUCUCAAAGCAGAGAUGGAGAAAAGUGUAUGAUCUUGGUGAUCGAACGUUCCUAUUGUCCCUGUUCAACUUUGGUGCUCUCUGCUCUGUCGGCAAGUCUGGACUGCGAGAGAACUGCAUCUACAUGGCGUAUCCUUGGGAGCAGACCGUGCACAUUUUCAGUGUAAAAGAUGGUAGUAUGGAGACGCACAAGCUGGAUGAUGCUCCCUCCUCAGAUAAAGCAUUCUGGAUGCUCCCUGCCAAUCAUAUAGAUUAGUUUAGAUUCACAAGAUAUUUUUUCCAUGUCGUUUUUAGUUAUCACCAGACUUGGAUUGUGCAACCUGUUUACGUGUUAUUAUGAUAUAUAUUGACAGAAUCACUUCUUGUAUGUUUC